AUCCGCCGGUGGAUUUUUAGCCCUGGUGGGUAGCUUCCCGGAAACGAAAGUCUUCCGGUUCCGGGGGAAGUAUGGUUGCAAAGCUGAAACUUAAAGGAAUUGACGGAAGGGCACCACCAGGAGUGGAGCCUGCGGCUUAAUUUGACUCAACACGGGGAAACUCACCCGGCCCGGACACCGUAAGGAUUGACAGAUUGAUAGCUCUUUCAUGAUUCGGUGGUUGGUGGUGCAUGGCCGUUCUUAGUUCGUGGAUCGAUUUGUCUGGUUUAUUCCGAUAACGAGCGAGACUCUAGCCUACUAAAUAGUAACGAGAUUAUCAAUGUCUCAGUUGCUUCUUAGAGGGAUUUUCGGUGUUUAGCCGCACGAGAUUGAGCAAUAACAGGUCUGUGAUGCCCUUAGAUGUCCGGGGCUGCACGCGCGCUACACUGGCGAAAUCAGCGUGCUGUAUCCAUUCUCGAAAGGGAUUGGUAAACCCAUGAAAAUUUGCCGUGCUUGGGAUCGGAAAUUGCAAUUAUUUUCCGUGAACGAGGAAUUCCAAGUAAGUGCGAGUCAUCA
rnacentral:rRNA from 1 species